rnacentral:rRNA from 1 species
UACGUAGGGGGCUAGCGUUGUCCGGAUUUAUUGGGCGUAAAGCGCGUGUAGGCGGCCAGAUAGGUCUGCUGUGAAAACUCGAGGCUCAACCUCGAGCUGUCGGCGGAAACCAUCUGGCUAGAGUCCGGAAGAGGAGAGUGGAAUUCCUGGUGUAGCGGUGAAAUGCGCAGAUAUCAGGAAGAACACCUAUGGCGAAGGCAGCUCUCUGGGACGGUACUGACGCUGAGACGCGAAAGCGUGGGGAGCGAACAGG